rnacentral:rRNA from 1 species
UACGUAGGGUGCAAGCGUUUAAUCGGAAUUACUGGGCGUAAAGCGUGCGCAGGCGGUUUGGAAAGAAAGGUGUGAAAUCCCAGAGCUUAACUUUGGAACUGCACUUUUAACUGCCAAGCUAGAGUAUGUCAGAGGGGGGUAGAAUUCCACGGUGUAGCAGUGAAAUGCGUAGAGAUGUGGAGGAAUACCGAUGGCGAAGGCAGCCCCCUGGGAUAAUACUGACGCUCAUGCACGAAAGCGUGGGGAGCAAACAGG